GAUGAACGCUGGCGGCGUGCCUAAUACAUGCAAGUCGAGCGAACGGACGAGAAGCUUGCUUCUCUGAUGUUAGCGGCGGACGGGUGAGUAACACGUGGAUAACCUACCUAUAAGACUGGGAUAACUUCGGGAAACCGGAGCUAAUACCGGAUAAUAUUUUGAACCGCAUGGUUCAAAAGUGAAAGACGGUCUUGCUGUCACUUAUCGAUGGAUCCGCGCUGCAUUAGCUAGUUGGUAGGGUAACGGCUUACCAAGGCAACGAUGCAUAGCCGACCUGAGAGGGGGGUCGGCCACACUGGAACUGAGACACGGUCCAGACUCCUACGGGAGGCAGCAGUAGGGAAUCUGACGCAAUGGGCGAAAGCCUGACGGAGCAACGCCGCGUGAGUGAUGAAGGUCUUCGGUUCGUAAAACUCGGUUAUUAGGGGAGAACAUAUGUGUAAGUAACUGUGCACAUCGUGACGGUACCUAGUCAGAAAGCCACGGCUAACUACGUG
rnacentral:rRNA from 1 species